rnacentral:rRNA from 1 species
AGAGUUUGAUCAUGGCUCAGAUUGAACGCUGGCGGCGUGCCUAACACAUGCAAGUCGAGCGGUAACAGGUGUAGCAAUACAUGCUGACGAGCGGCGAACGGGUGAGUAAUGCUUCGGAAUCUACCUUAUGGUGGGGAAUAACUAGCCGAAAGGUUAGCUAAUACCGCAUACGUCCUACGGGAGAAAGCAGGGGAUCGUAAGACCUUGCGCCAAAAGAUGAGCCGAAGUCGGAUUAGCUAGUUGGUAGGGUAACGGCCUACCAAGGCGACGAUCCGUAGCUGGUCUGAGAGGACGACCAGCCACACUGGGACUGAGACACGGCCCAGACUCCUACGGGAGGCAGCAGUGGNNNNNNUUGGACAAUGGGGGGAAACCCUGAUCCAGCGACGCCGCGUGUGUGAAGAAGGCCUGCGGGUUGUAAAGCACUUUUAGUGGGGGAUGAAAUGUGCAGGGUUAAUACCUCUGCAUUUUGACCUAACCCACAGAAAAAGCACCGGCUAACUCUGUGCCAGCAGCCGCGGUAAUACAGAGGGUGCAAGCGUUAAUCGGAAUUACUGGGCGUAAAGCGUGCGUAGACGGUUACAUAAGUCGGGUGUGAAAGCCCCGGGCUCAACCUGGGAAUUGCAUUCGAGACUGCGUAGCUAGGGUGCGGAAGAGGGAAGCGGAAUUUCCGGUGUAGCGGUGAAAUGCGUAGAUAUCGGAAGGAACACCAGUGGCGAAAGCGGCUUCCUGGUCCAGCACCGACGUUCAGGCACGAAAGCGUGGGGAGCAAACAGGAUUAGAUACCCUAGUAGUCC